UAUAUAGCACCACCAUAUUCCACGGAGCUUUACAAUUCAGAGGGUUCAUGUACAAAUCAAAAUAGACAUCACAGAAUUACAGGCUAAUAUACAAAUUGGAACACAAGAAGUAAGGACCCUGCUCACAAGAGCUUACAAUCUAGGAGGCAAUGGGGGGUGACAAAAAGGGUAAAACUGAUUGUUUUAUAAAGUGGUCCAGCCACCUUUGUACUAGAUAGAGCAGUGCAGACGGAGCUGCAUCAGCCAGUACACUCAGUGAAUAGAUUACUGUCUGAAGAUGGUGUUCGAAUAUGAAGAAUAAAGGAGGAGGGAAUAAAACAGGAAGCGGACAGUUUAGGGAACAUAAUAAGCCUGCCUGAAAAGAUGUGUUUUUUAGGCACAUUUGAAGCUAAAGAAGUUGGGAAUUGACCUGAUUGUCCAUGUGGGAUGGAGGGGGAUCGAAGCCGGUUGGAGACUGAGAGAUUAUUCCCUGCUGGCUGUAUUUUUUUUUAUCUCUGAAGUAAGUGGCCAGGUCUUCAGCACAAAGAACAGUGAUGGGCACAUGCACUUUAGGGCUUAGAAGGGAGUGAAAACAAUUUUAGAACCAUUUUUGGUUAUUUGAAAGAGAGGAGAUAAGAAAGGUGAAAUAGUUUUUUUUGCAAGGUGGGGGCAGAGUUGUAAGUAUUAAAUACCAAUUUAUAAUAGAGAAAAUCUGCAGAUACUUGUAAUUUUUUCCAUAAACAUUCAGCACACCUAGAGAACCACUGGAUAAAAUAUAUUUAGGUGUGUGCCAGGAUGGUUUUGAGGGUGUGGUUGUCAUGAUUGGCAGCCAGAUCCGCACAAGAGGGGGCCCAAUAAAUAGAAUAUACAAAAACAGGAAUGAGAUUCCUCAGUGGCUGAUACCUUUUAAUGGCUAACUGAAAAAAUGACAGUUUUAUGACCUUUUUAUCUAAUAGGCUGCUGGGAGUAAAUGGUGAGUAGGCUUCUGUAUGUGUGAGUAGUACUGUCAUGAGAACAGUGAGAGAUUUAUAUAGUAAGGGAAAGAAGAUUGUGGUCAGAAAGUGAGAAGCAUGAGCUAAUAAAGUCAGGGAUUGAGCAGAGGCAUGAGGAAGUGAGUUGUUUGAGGCUGAGAGAGGAGGUUAUAGAAGGAAAGUGAGGCCGUUGGGGAGAUUGGAUCAUCAAUGGGGAUGUUGAAACUACUUCUCCCUGUCUCCUCGCCAAGUAAUUCUGAAUUUCAGUGCAGUUCCCUGACUGUAUCUGUCAUCUAUUUCCGCAAUACACUCACUAACUCCUAUAAAGACACAUUUCCAGGCUUGUCUAUCAGGUUCCAUACUGUGCUGCCACUGCUACGAACCCUACAUAGCCACACAUCUCCUGCCUUGUCCGUUAGGUUUCAUACUGUAUUGCUGACACUGCAGCUACUACUGCCCCUGCUGCCAUUUCUACUACCUCUACACAGCCACAUAUCUCUUCUCCUGUCUGUCAGGUUCCAUACUAUACUGUUGGCCUUGCAGCUACUACUGCCCCCGCUGCCUUUUCUACUAUCCUUACACAGCUGCACAUCUCCUGCCUUAUCUGUCAGGUUCCAUACUAUACUGCUGAUGCUCCAAAAAAUAGGGAGAAUGCUUGAUCGAAACAAGCCAUUGCUUCUUCUGACACCACCAUGUGUAAACACUGCCAGCCACAUUUCCCAAAAAGAAAUAAUUUUUGGGCAGUUUUUUUUUUUUAUGAGUAUAACAAAGUGAACAGUGCAGAGUGUUAUUAAAGGGAAUCUGUCACCCACAUUUCACUAAUAAAACAACCUGCAAUGGCCAGCAGUACAUGGUAUAACCUUUAUGAGCAUACCUGUUUGUCACCAGGAUAUGCAAUGAAUACCCAGAAGAAGAACUUCUAUCCAUAUGCAAAUCAGAUCCAAAGUGCCCAGCUAGAUAGGUUUUCCUUUUGAAAAUUACCAAGCCCUCCUCUUUCCCCAGUGUCUCCUCCUCUCCUAACUUCCCAAGCCUUCCUUCCCUCUCCACUGACGUCACAGUGUAUUGUUUCCAAAUCUUGUGCAGGUGCCCUCUGAUGCUUUUCCAGCACCUGCUCACUACAUUCCCUUUUGCGGGCUCUUGCCUCGGGGAUAUGUUCUGUGCAGAUUUGGUAUUGAAGCACCACAACAUAAGGGGAGAGGAGAGGAAUAGUAGGGAGGUAUGGAUAAAUUCAGUGCACACCCUGGUGACAAACAUUUAUCAUCGGAAUUGUUUUACCAUGUAAUGCUGGCCAUUACAGUUAAUUUUGUUAGUAAAAAGUUGGUGAAAGAUUCCCUUUAAACAGGCUGUUUAUUGACUUAUUCAUUUGAAUCUGACCCAAAACAUAUUUCAAGACAUGUACUCAUCU